AACGAACGCUGGCGGCAUGCCUAACACAUGCAAGUCGAACGAGACCUUCGGGUCUAGUGGCGCACGGGUGCGUAACGCGUGGGAACCUGCCCUUAGGUUCGGAAGAACUCCCCGAAAGGGGUGCUAAUACCGGAUAAUGUCUUCGGACCAAAGAUUUAUCGCCUUUGGAUGGGCCCGCGUUGGAUUAGCUAGUUGGUAGGGUAAAAGCCUACCAAGGCGACGAUCCAUAGCUGGUCAGAGAGGAUGAGCAGCCACACUGGGACGGAGACACGGCCCAGACUCCUACGGGAGGGAGCAGUGGGGAAUAUUGGACAAUGGGCGAAAGCCUGAUCCAGCACUGCCGGGUGAGUGAUGAAGGCCUUAGGGUUGUAAAGCUCUUUUACCCGGGAUGAUAAUGACAGUACCGGGAGAAUAAGCUCCGGCUAACUCCGUG
rnacentral:rRNA from 1 species